UUCAUGAAGACGAAUUGAAAAAUCCAUGUGAGAGUAUAGAAAAUGUUCCAUUAGGGCUGAAAGUGGAGAAAAUUCCAAAAUUUGUAGGUGUGGGUGUACUUAAAAAGUGGGUUAAGAAAAAUAAAAUUCUUGGAGCAAAAGUUUUGAAGCGUGAUAACCAAAAUUUUUUCAUCUUAAAAUUUAAUACUUGCGAAGAUAAACAAAAGGCCAAAGAAAAACUUUUGACUCUAAAUUUUAAACGUCAACGUCUAAAUGUAAAAGAA